GCCAGACUCCUACGGGAGGCAGCAGUGGGGAAUAUUGGACAAUGGGGGGAACCCUGAUGCAGCGACGCCGCGUGGGUGAAGAAGCGCCUCGGCGCGUAAAGCCCUGUCAGCAGGGAAGAAAAUGACAGUACCUGACUAAGAAGCCCCGGCUAACUACGUGCCAGCAGCCGCGGUAAUACGUAGGGGGCAAGCGUUAUCCGGAUUUACUGGGUGUAAAGGGAGCGUAGGCGGCCACGCAAGUCAGGAGUGAAAACCCGGGGCUCAACCCUGGGAGUGCUUUUGAAACUGUGCGGCUAGAGUGUCGGAGGGGUAAGUGGAAUUCCUGGUGUAGCGGUGAAAUGCGUAGAUAUUAGGAGGAACACCAGUGGCGAAGGCGGCCUGCUGGACGGUAACUGACGCUGAGGCUCGAAAGCGUGGGGAGCAAACAGGAUUAGAUACCCGAGUA
rnacentral:rRNA from 1 species